GAACGAACGCUGGCGGCGCGCUUAAUACAUGCAAGUCGAACGAGAAGGUGUAGCAAUACACUUGUAAAGUGGCGAACGGGUGAGGAAUACAUGGGUAACCUACCCUCGAGUGGGAACAACCGAGCCGAAAGGUUGGCUAAUACCGCGUACGCUUCCGGGUCUUCGGAUUCGGAAGGAAAGUCAUACCGUGGUAUGACGCUCAAGGAUGGGCUCAUGUCCUAUCAG
rnacentral:rRNA from 1 species